GGGAGUGUAUGGAGCCUGGUGGCUUCCUUCGUCUUCAAAACGAAUGCGACCUGACGACGUCGGGUUGGGUGGGUUCGAUUCCCAUACGCUCCCGCCA
rnacentral:tRNA from 1 species